GCAUAUCAAUAAGCGGAGGAAAAGAAACCAACCGGGAUUGCCUCAGUAACGGCGAGUGAAGCGGCAAGAGCUCAAAUUUGAAAGCUGGCCCCUCCGGGGUCCGCGUUGUAAUUUGCAGAGGAUGCUUUGGGUGCGGCCCCCGUCUAAGUGCCCUGGAACGGGCCGUCAGAGAGGGUGAGAAUCCCGUCUUGGGCGGGGUGUCCGUGCCCGUGUAAAGCUCCUUCGACGAGUCGAGUUGUUUGGGAAUGCAGCUCUAAAUGGGUGGUAAAUUUCAUCUAAAGCUAAAUACUGGCCGGAGACCGAUAGCGCACAAGUAGAGUGAUCGAAAGAUGAAAAGCACUUUGAAAAGAGAGUUAAACAGCACGUGAAAUUGUUGAAAGGGAAGCGCUUGCGACCAGACUCGCCCUCGGGGUUCAGCCGGCACUCGUGCCGGUGUACUUCCCCGGGGGCGGGCCAGCGUCAGCUUGGGCGGCCGGUCAAAGGCCUCCGGAAUGUAGUGCCCCCCGGGGCACCUUAUAGCCGGAGGUGCAAUGCGGCCAGCCUGGGCUGAGGAACGCGCUUCGGCACGGACGCUGGNAUAAUGGUCGCAAACGACCCGUCUUGAAACACGGACC
rnacentral:rRNA from 1 species